GAGUGUAGUACAGUGGCAGUACGAUAGCUUCCCAAGCUAUAAACGAGGGUUCGAUUCCCUUCACUC
rnacentral:tRNA from 1 species